ACUCAAAGGAAUAGACGGGGACCCGCACAAGCAGUGGAGUAUGUGGUUUAAUUCGAAGCAACGCGAAGAACCUUACCAGGGCUUGACAUCCUAAGAAUCCCCUAGAGAUAGGGGAGUGCCUUCGGGAACUUAGAGACAGGUGGUGCAUGGUUGUCGUCAGCUCGUGUCGUGAGAUGUUGGGUUAAGUCCCGCAACGAGCGCAACCCUUAUCGUUAGUUGCUACCAUUAAGUUGAGCACUCUAGCGAGACUGCCGGUGACAAAUCGGAGGAAGGUGGGGACGACGUCAAAUCAUCAUGCCCCUUAUGUCCUGGGCUACACACGUACUACAAUGGCCGUAACAACGGGAAGCAAUACAGCGAUGUGGAGCAAAUCCUCAAAUACGGCCUCAGUUCAGAUCGCAGGCUGCAACUCGCCUGCGUGAAGUCGGAAUUGCUAGUAAUCGCGAAUCAGCAUGUCGCGGUGAAUACGUUCCCGGGUCUUGUACACACCGCCCGU
rnacentral:rRNA from 1 species